AGAGCAUUGCUUUUUUUUGGAAGGGGGUGGGGUAAUUAAACUUUGAAGAAAGAAAGUAAGAUUUUAAUUAAACUAUGGUUCUGUAUUUGAACCUGAAGGAAAUUCGAAAUAAAGUUAAAUGAUGUCAUAGUAUUUUAUUCUUUUAAAUUAAGCAAGUCCACAAACAAAAUUUAAAAAUAAAGCCGAAUGUUCUGUAGAAAAAAGCAGUCACUCUCAGGCUGAAGCACCUAUUCAAGCUUUAUGUAAUAACAGUUACCUCCUAGUCUUAAAUGAUUCUAUUUUUAUUUUGCCUCGUGAUCUUUUUUUUUUUAUUUGCUUAUCAACAAUUUUUUUUUGUUGGUAGCCUCGUUCAACCUGAAACUGAUAAUGUGGUGUUUGGUUGUACUAACCCCCCUACGUAUUGGGUAGGCCUAUACCAUGUAUACUCUCCACUCCUACACUGUACACGAAAAGUUUACAUUUCAAGGUGUUAGAAAUUCAUUUUUUCAUAGCAUUAUGAUAUUUCGAAUAUAUAGUGAUUUGUUAAGUAUUUUUAUCCAAUCAACAAAUCAUUUUCUCAGCCUAUAGUAUCCUAUUCCCUGCAUUAUUUUCAGCAAUUCAGUGACAGAAAUAAAACAAUCGUUUGAGGUUUAACCCUCCCCCCAUUCCCCACGAAAUGAAACUGAAAAUGUUUGGGUUUGCCCCCCCCCCCCCCCCUCCUUUAACUAAAAUUUAUUCCUACAUCAGUUUAGGCAUAUGCUUGCGGGGUGCCCCUUUCUGAAGAUGUGACAGGGAGUGAAACAAUAAAUUGUUUGGACGUACAUUUUUGUAUUAUAUGCAUAUUUUAAUGGAUAUAGAAAUUAAAUUACAACCAUUUAUGGUUAUUUUAGAAACAAUUCAAAAUUAUUAAUUUCUUAUUUUAUUUUAUUUUGUUGUGGUACAAGUACCCUUUUUCUAUAAAUAUCAUCGGGCUCGAAGUGCCAAGUUUUUAUAACUACAUCCACUAAACACGUGACAUGUUGAUGUUGUGCCAGACUCCUCUCCGGCCCUUCUUUGUUGUGUGUAACCAGGUUUGUGGUGACAGAUAACCAGAAUGUUGGAUUGCAGGGAAGAACGAAGAGCCUCGAAACAACUUUGAGGGUCUAUGAUAGAAUUUUGUGGACCCAAGUGGAAAGAGAGGAAAUCUUAGCUCCAGGGUCAACAUGUCUUUAUUCCAAGAAAGAGUGGCCUGGUUGAUUCAAUUAGGAAAGAACAGGAAAAAUCAGUGCUAAUGCUCAUUGGUCAUUGGACAAAGGGGUGUAUGCCAGAAUGUUUUGAAGAACAGUCUAAAUCUAACAUGGAAAAAAUGAGGAAAAACAGCCUUCCUGCUUACAAAUCUAUAUUCUGACAAAGGGGGUGUAUGCCAGAUUCUUUCGAAGAACAGUCUGAAUUUAACAUGGAAAAAAUGAGGAAAAACAGCCUUCCUGCUAAUCUAUAUUCUGACAAAGGAGCAGAACGACACUUAGAGAUAACUUUACUUGGUGCCUGUCUGUCCGUCUGUCACACUUUACAUCUCCAGAACUGUAAGAGGUAAGAGAGAAAUUCAGAAAUUCUAAAAUUGCCCUAGGAGUUCGUGGAUUGCAUCAUACUGCCUACAGACCUUGACAAAAAACAGUGUCUUGAAAAAAAAAAUGAAAAUAUUCAGUGUAAAAUAUUGAUGAGAGAAAGAUCCACUAGAAAUCUUGAAGCCUUUCAGCUGAAAUCUGGACUUAACUGGUAUGUCUUACUAGGUCAUCAGUCAUGUAUAAUAAAUACAAUAAACACUUUAGUACAAUCUUAAAAUAUAUAAUUUGUAGCUCGCAUACUUCAAUUAUUUCAUGAAAUUUAAGUAAGAAUGAUAAUUUCCUAGCUAGAUUAAAAAAUAUUAUUGUCCAAAUUUGAUAUUGUGAAAUAAUUUAUCUAGAAUAUCGGAUAUGAAUACAUGUGUGUAAACUUGCAUGUAAAUUAAUUGUUAAAGCAAGUUCAAUUUAUCAUUAAGUUGCAAGUUAACUAAUUGUAGUGCAUCUUUAAUGUAAAAGUAUGGAUGAAAACCAUUCGAUUUUUGUACCUUUGAAUGUAUUAUUCAAUUUGUAUAAGCUCUUUUGAUACAUUGUUUGAUAUUUUAGUACAUGCAAUCAGUAGAUGUGUCAUAAUUUUGAUUUGAUUACUAUUCUGUUUUUAAGAAGUAAAAAAGUAAAAAGUACCAUGUAGCUUAUUCUAGUUUUAUAGUGGCACAUGGGACUGGUAUAUCAUGUAUAUUGAACUGUCAAUGAAAUAAAAGUCUAAACAGUCAAAUAUGCACUUUCUUGUAGUUUGGUAUGGUAUUAAAUGUUAAACAACUACUUUUUUUUAAUAAGCAAAGGAUAUGCUUGAGUGAGUGUAUUUUCAUAUGCGGUGAAAAUAAAAUAAUUUUUAAGCAUU